CCGAAUGGGGAAACCCAGUGUGAUUCGUCACACUAUCAUUAACUGAAUCCAUAGGUUAAUGAGGCGAACCGGGGGAACUGAAACAUCUAAGUACCCCGAGGAAAAGAAAUCAACCGAGAUUCCCCCAGUAGCGGCGAGCGAACGGGGAGGAGCCCAGAGCCUGAAUCAGCAUGUGUGUUAGUGGAAGCGUCUGGAAAGGCGCGCGAUACAGGGUGACAGCCCCGUACACAAAAGCGCAUGUGCUGUGAGCUCGAUGAGUAGGGCGGGACACGUGGUAUCCUGUCUGAAUAUGGGGGGACCAUCCUCCAAGGCUAAAUACUCCUGACUGACCGAUAGUGAACCAGUACCGUGAGGGAAAGGCGAAAAGAACCCCGGCGAGGGGAGUGAAAAAGAACCUGAAACCGUGUACGUACAAGCAGUGGGAGCNNNNNNNNNNNNNNNNNNNNNNNNNNNNNNNNNNGGGCGUUAAGUUGCAGGGUAUAGACCCGAAACCCGGUGAUCUAGCCAUGGGCAGGUUGAAGGUUGGGUAACACUAACUGGAGGACCGAACCGACUAAUGUUGAAAAAUUAGCGGAUGACCUGUGGCUGGGGGUGAAAGGCCAAUCAAACCGGGAGAUAGCUGGUUCUCCCCGAAAGCUAUUUAGGUAGCGCCUCGUGAAUUCAUCUCCGGGGGUAGAGCACUGUUUCGGCUAGGGGGCCAUCCCGGCUUACCAACCCGAUGCAAACUGCGAAUACCGGAGAAUGUUAUCACGGGAGACACACGGCGGGUGCUAACGUCCGUCGUGAAGAGGGAAACAACCCAGACCGCCAGCUAAGGUCCCAAAGUCAUGGUUAAGUGGGAAACGAUGUGGGAAGGCCCAGACAGCCAGGAUGUUGGCUUAGAAGCAGCCAUCAUUUAAAGAAAGCGUAAUAGCUCACUGGUCGAGUCGGCCUGCGCGGAAGAUGUAACGGGGCUAAACCAUGCACCGAAGCUGCGGCAGCGANNNNNNNNNNNNNNNNNNNNNNNNNNNNNNNNNNNNUGCUGGAGGUAUCAGAAGUGCGAAUGCUGACAUAAGUAACGAUAAAGCGGGUGAAAAGCCCGCUCGCCGGAAGACCAAGGGUUCCUGUCCAACGUUAAUCGGGGCAGGGUGAGUCGACCCCUAAGGCGAGGCCGAAAGGCGUAGUCGAUGGGAAACGGGUUAAUAUUCCCGUACUUGGUGUUACUGCGAAGGGGGGACGGAGAAGGCUAUGUUGGCCGGGCGACGGUUGUCCCGGUUUAAGCGUGUAGGUGUGUGUUCCAGGUAAAUCCGGUUCACUUUAACACUGAGGCGUGACGACGAGGCACUACGGUGCUGAAGCAACAAAUGCCCUGCUUCCAGGAAAAGCCUCUAAGCAUCAGGUAACACGAAAUCGUACCCCAAACCGACACAGGUGGUCAGGUAGAGAAUACCAAGGCGCUUGAGAGAACUCGGGUGAAGGAACUAGGCAAAAUGGUGCCGUAACUUCGGGAGAAGGCACGCUGACACGUAGGUGAAGUGAUUUACUCAUGGAGCUGAAGUCAGUCGAAGAUACCAGCUGGCUGCAACUGUUUAUUAAAAACACAGCACUGUGCAAACACGAAAGUGGACGUAUACGGUGUGACGCCUGCCCGGUGCCGGAAGGUUAAUUGAUGGGGUCAGCGCAAGCGAAGCUCCUGAUCGAAGCCCCGGUAAACGGCGGCCGUAACUAUAACGGUCCUAAGGUAGCGAAAUUCCUUGUCGGGUAAGUUCCGACCUGCACGAAUGGCGUAAUGAUGGCCAGGCUGUCUCCACCCGAGACUCAGUGAAAUUGAACUCGCUGUGAAGAUGCAGUGUACCCGCGGCAAGACGGAAAGACCCCGUGAACCUUUACUAUAGCUUGACACUGAACAUUGAGCCUUGAUGUGUAGGAUAGGUGGGAGGCUUUGAAGUGUGGACGCCAGUCUGCAUGGAGCCGACCUUGAAAUACCACCCUUUAAUGUUUGAUGUUCUAACGUGGACCCGUAAUCCGGGUUGCGGACAGUGUCUGGUGGGUAGUUUGACUGGGGCGGUCUCCUCCUAAAGAGUAACGGAGGAGCACGAAGGUUGGCUAAUCCUGGUCGGACAUCAGGAGGUUAGUGCAAUGGCAUAAGCCAGCUUGACUGCGAGCGUGACGGCGCGAGCAGGUGCGAAAGCAGGUCAUAGUGAUCCGGUGGUUCUGAAUGGAAGGGCCAUCGCUCAACGGAUAAAAGGUACUCCGGGGAUAACAGGCUGAUACCGCCCAAGAGUUCAUAUCGACGGCGGUGUUUGGCACCUCGAUGUCGGCUCAUCACAUCCUGGGGCUGAAGUAGGUCCCAAGGGUAUGGCUGUUCGCCAUUUAAAGUGGUACGCGAGCUGGGUUUAGAACGUCGUGAGACAGUUCGGUCCCUAUCUGCCGUGGGCGCUGGAGAACUGAGGGGGGCUGCUCCUAGUACGAGAGGACCGGAGUGGACGCAUCACUGGUGUUCGGGUUGUCAUGCCAAUGGCACUGCCCGGUAGCUAAAUGCGGAAGAGAUAAGUGCUGAAAGCAUCUAAGCACGAAACUUGCCCCGAGAUGAGUUCUCCCUGAGACUUAGAGUCUCCUGAAGGAACGUUGAAGACGACGACGUUGAUAGGCCGGGUGUGUAAGCGCAGCGAUGCGUUGAGCUAACCGGUACUAA
rnacentral:rRNA from 1 species